rnacentral:rRNA from 1 species
GUUAGGAAUAUUGGACAAUGGACGCAAGUCUGAUCCAGCCAUGCCGCGUGAGUGAUGAAGGCCUUCGGGUUGUAAAGCUCUUUAGCCGAUGAUUAUAAUGACUGUAGUCGGAAAAUAAGCCCCGGCUAACUUCGUGCCAGCAGCCGCGGUAAUACGAAGGGGGCGAGCGUUAUUCGGAAUCACUGGGCGUAAAGCGUGCGUAGGCUGUUUUGUAAGUCAGAAGUGAAAGCCCAGGGCUUAACCCUGGAAGUGCUUUUGAAACUACAAGACUCGAAUUCGGGAGAGGAUAGCGGAAUUGUCAGUGUAGCAGUGAAAUGCGUAGAUAUUGACAGGAACACCAGUGGCGCAAGCGGCGAUCUGGACCGAUAUUGACGCUGAGGCACGAAAGCGUGGGGAGCAAACAGGAUUAGAAACCCGGGUAGUCC